rnacentral:rRNA from 1 species
GCGCACGCUGGCGGCAUGCUUCACACAUGCAAGUCGCGCGGGUGGUUUCGGCCAUCAGCGGCGGACGGGUGAGUAUCGCGUAGGAAUGUAUCCCGAGGUGGGGGACAACCCUGGGAAACUGGGGCUAAUACCGCAUGGGGCCUGUGGGUCAAAGCCUUAGGGCGCCUUGGGAGCAGCCUGCGUCCGAUUAGGUAGUUGGUGGGGUAAAGGCCUACCAAGCCUGCGAUCGGUAGCUGGUCUGAGAGGACGAUCAGCCACACUGGGACUGAGACACGGCCCAGACUCCUACGGGAGGCAGCAGUGGGGAAUAUUGGACAAUGGGCGCAAGCCUGAUCCAGCAAUGCCGCGUGGGUGAAGAAGGUCUUCGGGUUGUAAAGCCCUUUCGGCGGGGACGAUGAUGACGGUACCCGCAGAAGAAGCCCCGGCUAACUUCGUG